rnacentral:lncRNA from 1 species
GCGCGUGGGAAGACGCGCCGCCACUGUUUUCUGCCACCAGAAGCCUUCCCAGCACUGUUCCCGUGCACUGUUCCUGCAUGUUCUAGAAGCUUUAAGAUUUUUUAGGGUUUAUUUUGUAUUUUUUUUUAUUUUGUUUGAUGUAAUAUUUAUUUAAUUUGAAUUUUUAUUUGUAUGUUGUAAAUGUGGAAAUACCAAAAAGAAAAAAAGAAAAGAAAAGAAAAGAAACAAAAAAUAGUAAAAGUGAAUGUGGG